rnacentral:misc_RNA from 1 species
UUUCCGUAGGUGAACCUGCGGAAGGAUCAUUAGUGAAUUGAAUAUGUUCGCGGACCUCUUCGGAGUCCCUAGCAUCAAAUCAUAUCCAUAACACCUGUGAACUGUAAGCCUGUCAUGAAAACGAAAGUAGUCAGAUCGCCUGCCCAUUUUAUACAAACAUUAAAGUAACAAACGUAGACUUAUUAUAAUCUAAUAAAACUUUCAACAACGGAUCUCUUGGCUCUC